rnacentral:pre_miRNA from 1 species
AUAAUACUCCCUCCGUCCAGAAAAGCUUGUCCCAAACUUGUUCCUCAAAUAGAUGUAUCUAGCACUAAUUUGGUGCUAGACACAUCCAUUUGAGGGACAAGCUUUUCCGGACGGAGGGAGUAACAU